GAUGAACGCUGGCGGCGUGCCUAAUACAUGCAAGUCGAGCAAACAGAUAAGGAGCUUGCUCCUUUGACGUUAGCGGCGGACGGGUGAGUAACACGUGGGUAACCUACCUAUAAGACUGGGAUAACUUCGGGAAACCGGAGCUAAUACCGGAUAACAUUUGGAACCGCAUGGUUCUAAAGUGAAAGAUGGUUUUGCUAUCACUUAUAGAUGGACCCGCGCCGUAUUAGCUAGUUGGUAAGGUAACGGCUUACCAAGGCAACGAUACGUAGCCGACCUGAGAGGGUGAUCGGCCACACUGGAACUGAGACACGGUCCAGACUCCUACGGGAGGCAGCAGUAGGGAAUCUUCCGCAAUGGGCGAAAGCCUGACGGAGCAACGCCGCGUGAGUGAUGAAGGGUUUCGGCUCGUAAAACUCUGUUAUUAGGGAAGAACAAAUGUGUAAGUAACUGUGCACGUCUUGACGGUACCUAAUCAGAAAGCCACGGCUAACUACGUG
rnacentral:rRNA from 1 species